CUUGCUCCUGCUCAUCCUCCUCCUCCUCCUUCCUCCAUCCUCCUUGCACAUUUCCGCAUUCCACACUCCUAAUGAGGGGACCAACUCUUUUCAGGACGAAACGAUGAGUGAAGAAAAAUAUCGCAUCCCUUUCCCAGGUCAUUCUCUUUAACUUUCGCUCAUCCCUCAAGUCAUCGCUCACACCUUCAGUCUUUAAACGCUUCAAACACCUUUUUCUUUUCUUUUUUUUAACUCCGGAAAAGGUCGUGAAAAGGCAAGGCAAGGACAGGACAGGUGAGAUCAUCCAAGUUGUCAUUAGGAAAAGGUCAGGUAGGCAGGUAGGUCGGAAGGUCAGUCACACAGGUAAGGGGGGCUAAAAGGUUAAUGGUGGUAGGUUGUCGGCAGGUUGGGGCAGGUCAAGGCAGGUGCGAAAAAUGUGGUCAUCAGGAAGGUUUUCAAGUUCACUUUCAUAUAACACUGAAUGGAUUUUUUUUUGUAUAUAUAUAUUUUUUUAUCCGUUCGUCUGUCCUGUCCAUUUCCGAUUAUCCGUUUUUUUUUUAGUUUUGUCUUCGUAUUCAUUUUUUCCCCUUUUCUUUCUUUCUGUUCCUCCUGUUUUUUUUCUAAGUAUUGUCUACGUAUGAUUUUUUUUUUCCCUUUUCUUUCUUUCUGUUCCUCCUGUUGUUUUAUUUUCUCCCUUUAUUCUGCCUGUAACUACUUCCGUUUUCUCCUGUUCCUCCUCCUCUUGUUGAUUCCUGUUCUUCCUGUUCCUUUGUUUCCUCUUCUUCCUCCUGUUUUUUUUCCUCCUGUUCCUUGUUUUCCUCCUGUCAAAAGCGAGGAUGAAAAUGGCGAAGGGAAAAAGAGAAUGAAGAUGAUGAAGGGGUCAAUGAAGGUCAAGCUGGGUCAAAAUCGAGAAAGAAAACGGCGGAAAAAGAGGAUGAAGAUCAAGCUAGGUCAAAAUGAUAAGGAAAAAAAAAAGCUGGAAAAGAUGGUCAAAACUGAGGAGGUUGCCCGUAGAGUUAGGUCAAGCUAGGUCAAAAUGAUGAGAGGGGAAAGAAAAGCUGAAAAAAGAUGGUCAAGACUGAGGUGUUAGGUUAAUCUGAGUCAAACUAGGUCACCGGCGUCAGAAGCGAAGUCAAGUGGGUAAGAAGAGUCUGCAGGUGAAGCGAGGUCAAGGUAUGCGAGGAGGAGUCAAGGUGGGACAGGAAGGCAAGGGGAUGAAGGCAGGAUGAAGGGAGGAAGCGGCCGAGUAAGUCAAGGGUGGAUCGGUUACGUUUGUCUUUUUACCUUCCUUUCCUUUCCUUUUUUUUCUUUAUUAUUAUUAUUUUUUUCGUAUUUUCAUUGUUUUUUUUUGUUCUCUCCUUCAUUUCUUUUAUGUAGUUGUUUUCCUCUUCUUCUUCUUCUUCCCUUUUUUUUUCUUUCUUUCGCUUUUAUUAACUUUUUUCUUAUUUUGAUUCAUUUUUGUUGUUCUUUUCCUUAAUUCAGUUGUCUUUUCCCUUCCUUUCCUUCUUUUCCUUUUUUUUCUUUCUCUUUUAUUCAUAUUUUUCUUAUUUUCAUAGUUUUUUGUUCUUCUUUUUCUUCAUUAAGUCGUCGUCUUCUUCUUCUUCUUCCUUUGCUUUUCUUUCUUUCUUUCUUUCUUUUUUAUUAUUUUUUCGUGUUUUCAUUGUUUUUUUUUGUUCUUUUCCUUCUUUUCCUUUUUUGAUUUCUUUCUUUCUCUUUUAUUCAUUUUUUUCGUAUUUUCAUUUGUUUUUUUUGUUCUCUCCUUAUUUUUCUUUAUUCAGUUUUCUUCUUCUUCUCCUUCUCUUCUUUCUUUCUUUCUCUUUCCUUUUUAUUUUUUGUAUUUUUGAUUGGUUGUUUGUUUUUCUCCUUUUCGUUUUCUCUUUUUCUUGGUUUUCUUUCUCUUUUUCCCUUCUCUCAGUCGUGUCUCAUUUUCCUUCCCUUUCUCUUCUUUCUUUCUUUCUCUUUUAUUCGUUUUCUUCUCUUUUCACUGGUUCUUUGUUUUUCCUCCUUUUAGUUUUCUCUCUCCUGGUUUUCUUUCUUUUCUCUCCUUCUCUCUGUCCUCAUUCCAAUUAUCUUCCCUUUCCUGAUGUCAUUUCCUGUCAUGCUCAUUAUCUUUUGUGCCUAUUUCCUCUUCCUUCCUUCCUUCCUUCCUGUCUUCAUUGCUUCUCUCCUUCCUAUUAACCUUUCUUUCUUUUUUCCGUUUCUCCUUUUUCCUAUCAUUUUUAUUUCACUCUCUCCUCUUCUAUUCUUCGUUACCUGUCACCUUUCCCUUCUUUCCCUCAAUCCUUCCUUCUUUCUCUUCUUUCACCUCUCCCUUCUUCUUUUCUUUAAUCUUUAUCGACUUUCUUCCUUGCUCUCCUUUAUCCUUUAUUCACCUCCCUUCUUCUAUUCUUCCGUCUCCAUCGACUUCUUUCCUUUCUGUUUCAUUCUUCUUUCAAUCUCUUUUCUCUUUUUCUUUUUUCCUUUUCGACUUGCCUCCUUUCCUUCCCUCACCCUCUCCUUUCUUCUCCUCUUCCUUUCCUAUGUUAUCUACUUUUUUCAUUUCUAUCCUUCAUCCUUUCUUCACCCUCUCCCUUCUCCUCUUCCACCCCUUUCAACGUCCCGCUUUUCCAUUCUUCAUCCUUCCUUUUACUUCUCCCUUCUUCUCACGUUCCCUCAUGCACAAACUCUCCCUUUUUUCCAUCGUUUCCUUCUUCCUCCUCUCCCUCCCUCGCUCCCUGACCUUUCCCUCCUCUUUCAGACAGGCAAACACAACAACAACACACACAAACACACACACACACACACACACACACACACACAGAUCCCCGGACUAACGCAAAACUAACCUAACACAAUACAUUUUUCAACAUCGACGCCCCGACACACGCCUUGCCUUCCCUUCCCUUGCCUUGCCUUGCUCCCCACACAGACUCCUAAAAAAUGAAGACUAACAUUCCACCACUCCACGGAGGCAAAGGAGCUGUUGUCCGUCCCUCCCCCUCUCCCCUGACCCUCCCUUGCCCCCCUUCCCUUCUCACUGGCGGCGGUACUUGGCUCACGAAAUUUAACUGGAGCGGAACACGGCGCGGUGCUAGUCUCCACACCUUCACGGCCCUAGAUUCAAGGUAUUAAGCAUCAUCAGGACAGACAAACACACCGGGAUGGGUCGGAAUGGGUCUCGCCACAAAGCCACAACGGAAAACGCCGCCGCCCAGACCCCGACGCGACAAAAAAUGAAGGAAAAAAAAAAACACGGCCGGCUCUUAUUUUCCUUUUCACCCCACUCUGGCAACCGUGCCCGACUCAGACUCCCGGUGACGUCACGCUGACGUCAGUGCCUCCACCAAACGGCUGCAGCAGUACUGGAAAAACAUGGAGGGAGGGGAGGAGCAGGA